GAUGAACGCUGGCGGCGUGCCUAAUACAUGCAAGUCGAGCGAACAGACGAGGAGCUUGCUCCUCUGACGUUAGCGGCGGACGAGUGAGUAACACGUGGAUAACCUACCUAUAAGACUGGGAUAACUUCGGGAAACCGGAGCUAAUACCGGAUAAUAUAUUGAACCGCAUGGUUCAAUAGUGAAAGACGGUUUUGCUGUCACUUAUAGAUGGAUCCGCGCCGCAUUAGCUAGUUGGUAAGGUAACGGCUUACCAAGGCAACGAUGCGUAGCCGACCUGAGAGGGUGAUCGGCCACACUGGAACUGAGACACGGUCCAGACUCCUACGGGAGGCAGCAGUAGGGAAUCUUCCGCAAUGGGCGAAAGCCUGACGGAGCAACGUCGCGUGAGUGAUGAAGGUCUUCGGAUCGUAAAACUCUGUUAUUAGGGAAGAACAAAUGUGUAAGUAACUAUGCACGUCUUGACGGUACCUAAUCAGAAAGCCACGGCUAACUACGUG
rnacentral:rRNA from 1 species